AGUGAACGCUGGCGGUAGGCCUAACACAUGCAAGUCGAACGGCAGCACAGUAAGAGCUUGCUCUUACGGGUGGCGAGUGGCGGACGGGUGAGGAAUACAUCGGAAUCUACUUUUUCGUGGGGGAUAACGUAGGGAAACUUACGCUAAUACCGCAUACGACCUACGGGUGACAGCAGGGGAUCUUCGGACCUUUCGCGAUUGAAUGAGCCGAUGUCGGAUUAGCUAGUUGGCGGGGUAAAGGCCCACCAAGGCGACGAUCCGUAGCCGGUCUGAGAGGAUGAUCAGCCACACUGGAACUGAGACACGGUCCAGACUCCUACGGGAGGCAGCAGUGGGGAAUAUUGGACGAUGGGCGCAAGCCUGAUCCAGCCAUACCGCGUGGGUGAAGAAGGCCUUCGGGUUGUAAAGCCCUUUUGUUGGGAAAGAAAAGCAGCAGGUUAAUACCCCGCUGUUCUGACGGUACCCAAAGAAUAAGCACCGGCUAACUUCGUG
rnacentral:rRNA from 1 species